rnacentral:lncRNA from 1 species
CGCCGAUUCCUUCCAAUAUGGCAAAACGUUAACAGUCCAAGAAGUUCUGCACAUAGAAGGGCUAUGUUUUUUUAGUUCGUAUAUCCUGAUAUACGGUAAUAUACCAGAGUCAAUUAUUCAUGGCUAGUUAUGAUGCAGCCUAAAGAAGAAGCAAUUUCACGAUGCAAUAGUUUUUAUGUAGGGUUCCAUUCUGCAUGGCAACAUGACAUCCGCUCCAUCUGAAUCCCGUAGCUUGAGAAGCCAAAAUAGCUUUGACCAAGAAGAGAAAAUAUAUGUGCUAGAAGGCACAAUUCUAAUACAAGGACUAACUUUUACCUUGUGGAUGCAUCACGGUCGCGCGUGCAGAGGAGGUCAGGCGCGGCAGAACGCAAGGCCUGGAGGGGCGCGCCAUCGUUGUGCACCCGCCGUUGCACCUCUCGUGCACCGCCGCCGUCAUCUACCCACGUGGCCAGCUAGAUCCCUUGCGCGCACCGUUGAGCAUUACGCCACCGGCGACGAAAGCGGUGUCGAUCGGAGUAAAGGGGAAGAGAAGAGAGGGAGGAUGAGGUUUUUUUCUUCACUAUGGAGAAGAGGUUGGGGUCGAGAGGGUUCUAGGGCGAACGAGAAGUGACACUUAUAUUUGGAAGUGCGGGAUGUAUAUUUGGAAGCGCAUAAUGAUUUUUUGAUAAUCUGAGAACCUUAACGCAAAAUGCCUUACGCAUUUCCAAGCCAAUGGCUAUUCUAUAGUAAUAUAUUUGGAAGCGCAGAUGAUUUCUUGAUAAUGCGAGGAUCUUAAUGUAAAAUAUCUAGUAAUAUAUUUGGAAGUGUAUGAUGAUUUCUUGAUAAUACGAGGAUCUUAACACAAAAUGCCUUGGGCACUGCUAAGCCCCUAGCUAUUGGAUGGCCAUUCGACAACCGAAAGAAAUUAGGCUGAAAUAUAUUUGGAAGCAUGGGAUGAUUUCUUGAUAAUGCGAGGAUUUUAUUGGACACUUCUAUACCACUAGCCAUUGGAUGGCCAUUCUAUAGUUAUAUAUUUGGAAGCAUGGGAUGAUUUCUUGAUAAUGUGAGGAUCUUAACGCAAAAUGGUUACUAACGUAUUUGGAAGUGCAUGAUGAUUUUUUGAUAAUGGGAGGACCUUAACGCAAAAUGCCUUGAGCAUGGCUAAUCUACUGGCCGUUGGAGGCCCAUUCGACGGCCGACGUGGCUAGCUUGACUGGUUGCCGAGCCCACCAGAUUUCAUAUGUAGUAAUAUAUAGCAGAAGCGCCGAAUGGCCUUAAAAAAAAUGCCUAGUAAUAUUUUUGAAGUGAAGGAUGAUUUUUUGAUAAUGCGAGGAUCUUAUUGGACACUUCUAAACCACUAGCCAUUGGAUGGUAGCCGAAAGAAUUUCGGCCGACGUGGCCAGCUUGGCUGGCCACCGAGCCCACCUCCUUUCAUAUGUAGUAAUUAGUAGAAUAAAAUAGGAGUAGACCCUUGCACCCCUGUUGCUCCGCGUCGGCGUAGAGGGACCAAGUUAAUCUGAAUAAACAACUAAGCUUUUUUUUUCAACAAAAUCAUUGUGGAAGCUCAAAAUCAAAGUGACUUUUUCUUAAAAAAAUUCCAACAGUUCAUUAUUGAAUUAUGUAUAUCAUGCUCUAGUCCAGAAACCUGUUUAUCUCUGUCGUCUCUCAGACAUGGCCAUAGCACAGGCGUGAUUGUAUCUCUAAUUGCAGUGCCACCCUUGCCACUAGCCUCCUGGUAGCAUCGCGACUAUUGUUACCAGCUCUGCAAACUCAAGGGCACUAUCAAGCCCACGGCUAAGUCGGGCUGGUGGACCACCGCUGCCUUCUGUGUCAAGAUCCAAGAUGAAUCCAACAAGAACUAUGACUAACAAUGAACAAUUACCGGUAGAAAUAAAAAAAAUAACUACGUCUUAUGGAAGAGUAAAAUAAGUAUCCGAAAUAAAAGGAACAAGCAAAAUAGGGUUCAACUUCUCGAUGCUUUCCACAGCGGCAGGUCAAAAUGGUUUUACAUUUCAAACCGUUAUAUCACAAUAGAAAGGUAACUGGUACAAUGGUAGCCGUCCGAUUUCCUAAUCGACGGUAAUAAACUAUACAUACCCAGUUCAUUUUCAAAACCCGCCAACGCUCUCAGGAAACGCCUUUCUUCAGAAUUACUCCACUUCGCUUCUCCGAUUCAGACACCAGUCAGGUCUCACAGCCUGCUACGACCUCUCCCGCGGCGAUGUCGUCGUCUUCAGGUCAGCUCGCCGCCGCCGCCGCCGCCGCCGCCGCCGCAGAUUUCUUGAUUUGAUGGGACGCCUCGCAAAUGCCGUCGUUUGCUGACCGCGAUGGAGGACCGGGUUCCGAUGGUCCAUAGGCUGAUUGUUCUGACGGGGGAUCCAGGUCGCGUAGAAGCGGGAGUCCCGGCAGAUCCCCGAGGGGCACUGCAGGGUGGAAGGGGAAAAUGCCGGCAGCAGCUGGGACUCGAGAUUCUAUGGCCAUGUACGCAUUAUGGGAUUUUAUAUUGUUUUGAAAUGCUUCACACAAUGCUAUGGAGCUAAGGACAAGCACUCAACACAGUGCCCUGAAGCUACAACAUUGAUAGGUCAAUGCAGAAGAUCACAAUUGCUAGGCAAAAACUGCACAGAUUGAUUGGUAGUGGCAUCAAAGAAGAGAUGAUUUGUUACUGUGUUCAACCAAAUUCGAGUUUCUAGUUUCAGUGCUGAAAUAAUUAGUAGCAUGGGUACAAUUAUUUUUCUGGUAAGGGAGGGGUAAGGGGAAAAAAAAAACCUUGCUCCCAAAUGAAAGUGGGGCUGAGAGCAAUAAAACUUGUGUAUUGCCCUGAAAGUUUUAGUGCCGGACACGAACAAAUUAUCUGCUACAAGAUUUUACCUGCCUGAAAGUUUUAGCAUCGAACUUGAACAAAUUAUUUCCCCUCUUUUGAUCUUGCGACUGCCUGGUCUUGAAUCGUUUAACAUCUUAUGUCACUGUGGGCAUAUUUGCAUUCCUCUGUUUAUAUUGAGCAUUCUUUUAAUUCAUUAACUCUUCAAACACCUGGACUUGUAGAGAAAUCCGUGCUAAAGCAGAUUCCAUGGUUCAUGACCAUCUGGAGCAAAUCCCGAGCUUUGUUGAUAUAGUGUUCAUCAGAUGAAUAUCAGCAUUAGUUCACUACAG